rnacentral:tRNA from 1 species
GCCAGUGUUGCUCGGUGGAUAGAGCGUCGGCCUGUGGGCCCGAGGGUCGCGGGUUUGAUUCCGGUCAAGGGCA